GCGGAUGUAGCCAAGUGGAUCAAGGCAGUGGAUUGUGAAUCCACCAUGCGCG
rfam:Triticum aestivum genome assembly, contig: Triticum_aestivum_CS42_TGACv1_scaffold_472431_6AL